rnacentral:lncRNA from 1 species
GCUCGAACUCACGGACUGUGAGAUCAUGACCUGAGCCGAAGCCGGUUGCCCAACCGACCGAGCCACCCAGGCGCCCCUACAUUUCCUGUGUUUAUGUAUGUAUUUGUCUGAUUUAUAGACAUUCAAUAAAUGUUAGGUUAAACUAUGUGAAACAGCUGCUUUCAUGGGUUAAAAAAAGGUUGAAUAUUGGGCAUUUCACAUGGUUCACUGAAGAAGCACAUAAUAAUAGCUAUUAAAAGUACUUGUUAAUAAGAAUAGUUACAAUGUAGGGGCGCCUGGGUGGCUCAGUCAGUUAAGCAUCUGACUCUUGACUUCUGCUCAGGUCAUGAGAUCGAGCCCCGAGUCAGGCUCUGCGCUGAUAUCAAAGGGACUGCUUGGGAUUCCCAUCCCCCCUCUACCUCUCUCUCCCCUUCUCUCAAAAUAAAUAAACUUAAAAAAAAAUAGAGUGCACUAGGCACUGUUGUAAGUGCUUUUUGUAUAUUAUCUCAUUUACUCCAGAGAACAACUCUAUUAUCUUAAAGUUUCCCUAAGGAAGCACAGGCUCAAGAAGUUAAAUGACUGGCCCGAGAUCACACCAGACACCAGUUGCCAGAGCCAGGGUUUGAACUUGCCACGGACUUUCUAUAAGUGAAUGACUCGCCCCACCCCCCACCCCCUGCAGAUGAUGCUGAGCAAAGGUCUGAA